CCUACGGGUGGCAGCAGUGAGGAAUAUUGGGCAAUGGGCGAGAGCCUGAACCAGCAAAGUCGCGUGAGGGAAGACGGUUCUACGGAUUGUAAACCUCUUUUGUCAGGGAGCAAGGAGCGCCACGAGUGGUGCGGCGAGAGUACCUGAAGAAAAAGCAUCGGCUAAAUCCGUGCCAGCAGCCGCGGUAAUACGGAGGAUGCGAGCGUUAACCGGAUUUAUUGGGUUUAAAGGGUGCGCAGGCGGAAGCGGCAAGUCAGCGGUAAAAUUGCGGGGCUAACCCUCGCCGAGCCGGUGACACUGCUCUACUAGAGUGGGCGAGAGGUAAGCGGAAUGCGUGGUGUAGCGGUGAAAUGCAUAGAUAUCACGAAGAACUCCGAUUGCGAAGGCAGCAUACCGGCGCCCAACUGACGCUCAUGCACGAAAGCGUGGGUAUCGAACAGGAUUAGAUACCCGAGUAGUC
rnacentral:rRNA from 1 species